UGCGGAACAAAGAGAAUCCGGGCUCGGGCGAGCGCCGGUCCGAUUGGCCGGGGGGCGGAGCCCGGCGCGGGAAUCUUCGGCGGCGGUCGCCUUGGCAACGAAGACGGGGCUGGGAAAACUGCGGCCUGGGCCUGCGGGCCUGCGUCGGGUGGCGCCCAGCAGCGGUUUUCCCAAGCGGGGUCCCGGGGUCGAGGCUUCGGCUUCGGCCCCGCGCCCUCCUCACACGCUCUCGCGCCCGCUGCAGCCCCCACAACCCAGCCUGGGGUUCAAUCGCAGCCGGCGCUGCCCCGCCCUUGAGUGGGAACGCCCAGAUUCAAGGCCCUUCCGGCAGCCACCAAGAGAGAAGAAGUACUGUAAUUUCAAGCUGAAAAUGUUUUAAAUGGGAGAGUGCAUACGAUACUGGCCACCCAGUGAUGUCUUCUCUUUACAUUUCACGACGUGAGACUCUGCAGAAUCGUUGGCAUUUUUCAGUGACAUAUUUUGAAAUUUAAGAUGGUAAAUAAACUUGUUUUUAACCAUA